rnacentral:rRNA from 1 species
AUAAGGAAGUGGCGAAAGGGUGAGUAAUGGGUAGGUAACGUACCCUGGUCUUCGGGAUAGCGUUCCGAAAGGAACGAUAAUACCGAAUAAUGUUGCCUUCUUUAAGGAAGGUAACAAAGAUUUAUCGGAUCGGGAGCGGCCUAUUUCCCAUCAGCUUGUUGGUGAGGUAACGGCUUACCAAGGCAACGACGGGUAGCGGGACUGAGAGGUUGACCCGCCACAUCGGGACUGAGACACUGCCCGGACCUCCACGGAGGGCUGCAGUAACGAAUAUUGCGCAAUGGGCGAAAGCCUGACGCAGCGACGCCGCGUGUAGGAUGAAGCUCCUCGGAGUGUAAACUACUGUCAGGGGUUAGAAAGUCCUCGGAUUGAUCAGCCCCAGAGGAAGUCACGGCUAACUUCGUGCCAGCAGCCGCGGUAAUACGAAGGUGGCUAGCGUUGUCCGGAAUUACUGGGCUUAAAGCGCACGCAGGCGGAACCAGAAAGUGUCUUGUGAAAUUCCUCGGCUUAAACCGAGGAAUUGCUCGGCAAACUACUGUUCUUGAGGCAAGUAGGGGUGCCACGGAACUCUUGGUGGAAGCGGUGGAAAUGCGUAGAUAUCAAGAGGAACGCAAAAUGGUGAAGACAGUGCACUGGGCUUGUCCUGACGCUGAGGUGCGAAAGCGUGGGGAGCGAACGGGAUUAGAUACCCCGGUAGUCCACGCCGUAAACGAUGUCUACUAGGUUGUGGCUGUUUCUGACACAGGCACAGCCGAAGCAAAAGUGUUAAGUAGACCGCCUGGGGAGUACGGUCGCAAGGCUAAAACUCAAAGGAAUUGACGGGGGCUCACACAAGCGGUGGAGCAUGUGGAUUAAUUCGAAGCAACGCGCAGAACCUUACCUGGGUUUGACAUGCUUGGAUGCUUGCCUGGAAACAGGUUAAGCUGCCCUUCGGGGUGAAACUUGCACAGGUGCUGCAUGGCUGUCGUCAGCUCGUGUCGUGAGAUGUCGGGUUAAGUCCUUUAACGAGCGAAACCCUUGCCGUUAGUUGCCAGCGAGUAAUGUCGGGGACUCUAGCGGGACUGCCGGUGUUAAGCCGGAGGAAGGCGGGGAUGACGUCAAGUCCUCAUGGCCUUUAUGCCCAGGGCUUCACACGUGCUACAAUGGCAACUACAAAGCGAAGCGAGACCGCGAGGUGGAGCAAAUCGCAAAAAAGUUGCCUCAGUUCGGAUUGCAGGCUGACAACUCGCCUGCAUGAAGUUGGAAUCGCUAGU